rnacentral:rRNA from 1 species
UACGGGGGGAGCAAGCGUUGUUCGGAUUUACUGGGCGUAAAGGGCGCGUAGGCGGUCAGCACAAGUCAGUUGUGAAAUCUCCGAGCUUAACUCGGAAAGGUCAACUGAUACUGUGCGACUAGAGUGCGGAAGGGGCAACUGGAAUUCUUGGUGUAGCGGUGAAAUGCGUAGAUAUCAAGAGGAACACCUGCGGCGAAGGCGGGUUGCUGGGCCGACACUGACGCUGAAGCGCGAAAGCCAGGGGAGCGAACGGG